UACGGGGGGAGCAAGCGUUGUUCGGAUUUACUGGGCGUAAAGGGCGCGUAGGCGGUCGUGACAAGUCACUUGUGAAAUCUCCGGGCUUAACUCGGAACGGUCAAGUGAUACUGUCGGACUAGAGUACAGAAGGGGCAACUGGAAUUCUCGGUGUAGCGGUGAAAUGCGUAGAUAUCGAGAGGAACACCUGCGGCGAAGGCGGGUUGCUGGGCUGACACUGACGCUGAGGCGCGAAAGCGUGGGGAGCGAACAGG
rnacentral:rRNA from 1 species